GACGAACGCUGGCGGCGUGCUUAACACAUGCAAGUCGAACGAAGAGCGAUGGAAGCUUGCUUCUAUCAAUCUUAGUGGCGAACGGGUGAGUAACGCGUAAUCAACCUGCCCUUCAGAGGGGGACAACAGUUGGAAACGACUGCUAAUACCGCAUACGAUCUAAUCUCGGCAUCGAGGAUAGAUGAAAGGUGGCCUCUACAUGUAAGCUAUCACUGAAGGAGGGGAUUGCGUCUGAUUAGCUAGUUGGAGGGGUAACGGCCCACCAAGGCGAUGAUCAGUAGCCGGUCUGAGAGGAUGAACGGCCACAUUGGGACUGAGACACGGCCCAGACUCCUACGGGAGGCAGCAGUGGGGAAUCUUCCGCAAUGGACGAAAGUCUGACGGAGCAACGCCGCGUGAGUGAUGACGGCUUUCGGGUUGUAAAGCUCUGUUAAUCGGGACGAAAGGCCUUCUUGCGAAUAGUGAGAAGGAUUGACGGUACCGGAAUAGAAAGCCACGGCUAACUACGUG
rnacentral:rRNA from 1 species